ensembl:snRNA U7 U7 small nuclear RNA
CAGUUUUACAACUCUUUUAGAAUGUGUCUAGUAGGUUUUCUGCUCUUUACCAGAAACCCUCU